UACGUAGGGGGCUAGCGUUGUCCGGAUUAUUGGGCGUAAAGAGCGUGUAGGCGGCCAGGUAGGACUGCUGUGAAAACUCGAGGCUCAACCUCGAGACGUCGGCGGAAACCAUCUGGCUAGAGUCCGGAAGAGGAGAGUGGAAUUCCUGGUGUAGCGGUGAAAUGCGCAGAUAUCAGGAAGAACACCCGUGGCGAAGGCGGCUCUCUGGGACGGUACUGACGACUGAGGCACGGAAAGC
rnacentral:rRNA from 1 species